rnacentral:rRNA from 1 species
UACGAAGGGGGCAAGCGUUAUUCGGAUUUACUGGGCGUAAAGGGCGCGUAGGCGGUUGGGUAAGUCUGGUGUGAAAACGCUACCGCUCAACGGAGCGACGGCACUGGAUACUGCUUAACUUGAGUGCGAGAGAGGUUGGUGGAAUUCCUGGUGUAGCGGUGGAAUGCUCAGAUAUCAGGAGGAACACCGGUGGCGAAGGUGGCCAACUGGCUCGCUACUGACGAUGAGGCGCGAAAGCGUGGGGAGCAAACGG